rnacentral:rRNA from 1 species
CGGGACGGGUGAGUAAUGCUUGGGAAUCUAGCUUAUGGAGGGGGAUAACUACGGAAAACUGUAGCUAAUACCGCGUAAUAUCGAAAGAUUAAAGUGUGGGACCUUCGGGCCACAUGCCAUAGGAUGAGCCCAAGUGGGAUUAGGUAGUUGGUGAGGUAAAGGCUCACCAAGCCGACGAUCUCUAGCUGGUCUGAGAGGAUGACCAGCCACACUGGGACUGAGACACGGCCCAG